UACGUAGGGACCAAGCGUUGUUCGGAUUUACUGGGCGUAAAGGGCGCGUAGGCGGCAGAUUAAGUCAGCUGUGAAAUCUCCAAGCUUAACUUGGAACGGUCAGCUGAUACUGAUGUGCUAGAGUGCAGAAGGGGCAAUCGGAAUUCUUGGUGUAGCGGUGAAAUGCGUAGAUAUCAAGAGGAACACCUGAGGUGAAGACGGGUUGCUGGGCUGACACUGACGCUGAGGCG
rnacentral:rRNA from 1 species